UACGGGGGGGGGCAAGCGUUGUUCGGAAUUACUGGGCGUAAAGGGCGCGUAGGCGGCCCUCUAAGUCAGACGUGAAAUCCCACGGCUCAACCGUGGAACUGCGUCUGAUACUGGAGGGCUUGAAUCCGGGAGAGGGAUGUGGAAUUCCAGGUGUAGCGGUGAAAUGCGUAGAUAUCAGGAGGAACACCGAUGGCGAAGGCAGGUCACUGGGCCGCAACUGACGCUGAGGAGCGAAAGCAUGGGGAGCGAACAGG
rnacentral:rRNA from 1 species